rnacentral:tRNA from 1 species
GUCUUCGUAGCUCAAUGGAUAGAGCAUCUGCUUGCGGAGCAGAAGGUUGCGCGUUCGAGUCGCGCCGAGGACG